CACGAGUUUGAAUUCUAUCCACAUGAUUAUAGGAUUUGCCCAAAGAAUUGCUUGAUAUAUUCACAACUUAGAGGCUGGUUGGGAGCUAUUAAUUUUGGUCAAAAAUUAAUUUUGAGACCAUUGCCAAUUAUUUGUCUGACAGCCCAUGUGACUUUAAACAGAGAAAAUGGAUUUUUCUUUUCCAUUACUUGCCCUUCCCCACCGACAGCUCAAAGACCCCCACGACCUUCCGCCGACGAGCAAUCGACUUCGGCAAGUCCCACAACCUUUCGAUGCACAAACCAAUAAUCCCCUCGCAAUCUUCAGCCGCACUAACCGGUGACAGUAUUUUCAAUUCCUCAGAGGGUCUGAAGCGCACUUUUUUUGAAGAAGAGGUAACGAUGCCUGAAACAAACUGUCAUCGUCCGUCAACUUAGUAAGUCGCCUCCGAGCCCGGAUCUCCGCAGUGCACGUAUGAAUCCCGUCGACACACAGGUUUGUCCCUAGAAUUGUCUCGCACUCACCGUCAUUUAUCUUUCUUUAAAUAGACUACUCUUGCUUCGUAGACCCGAAGGCUGCCCCACUGAUUUAUUAUGCUAUUUUCGGUGUCCGUGUGAUUGUAUUUUGGUUUUCAAGUAUGCAAGCUCCUAUAAAAUUUGAGUGAGACACAGGCGCUCAUACCAGUAUUAUGUGGACAAAAUAUAUGGUUUUUUCAUGAAGUAGUAAAAAUAUUAUCGCAGUAAAAUGAGGCUUCAAAAUUAUGUGAAUGCAACGACAUGUUGAUCAAUAGAACUAUGCCCCUGUAUUACAAGAUAUUAUUGAUUUGCUAUGACAUAUUAGUGUCUUCUGAUUGCGUUGCAUCUAACUGCAAACACUUGGUUUUAGUUGCCCACUACAUUGAAAAUAACGUAAAUUGUGGCACUCUACUAGUGAUUGCGAGAUUGAGGUUAAUAUGAAUGGAACUUGCCUGCUCAUUUCCCAUGAGCUAGAGAACUAAAUUCCCUACUUGUUGUUAUAAUGUCUAUACCAGUGUUUUCUCAUUGUUCAUGCCCCACUUACCUUUGCCGUUAGGACAUAAUCCACUGCCUAACUCGUUUGCUACACAGGAGCUAGGUCGAGCCUCGAGGUCAAAAUCUUAUCCUCAGUGGAAUGUAUCAGAGACCUAAACAUGCAUGGCGGCGUGUGAAACCGCCAUUGCUGAGCGCCAUCGCAACGAUCGUUGUUUUAUGAAACACGGCUGAGAAUGAAUCUCGUCACUGUUCAACUCAAUCACUGGCCACAACUGGAACAAGCAGCAACUAUGCAACCACUAGGACACAUGCGUCGAACCUACAGACAUCUCUCCGAGUUGUUAAAUUCCAGCGGGGUUGCGUACAACGAAUCCAUCGAUCGAGUCGUUGCAUCGGAGGAGUGGUGGAAACGAAAGAUUGAGAUAGUGCUGUUAAUAUCUAUUUUCCUUUACUGUUUUUCAUUAACGCAUGUCGACAUCUACGAAAUCGCAUUGUGGAAAUAACUAACGAUGUACUAUUUUCUUGUGCUUAUGAGCAAUAUUGCUUGACUGUUGCGAUUAUUUUUUCUUGCACAUUCCGAUUUUUCAUUUACAUGUCUUCAUUUUUAACCCUUGGUCAUAGGAAAAUAAAGACUACAAGGACAAGGACGUGAAUGAAAUCUACAUUCACUAUCGUCAACUAUUCGGGGACAGUUACGGUGGGCGAAGUACGCAGUCACUUUGACAAAGUUGUGUCGAACGGGGUUCUAGCUAUUCGAGGAUAGCGUGCUGGAAGACCACCGUAAUGCAAUCCCAAUCGACGAUGAGAGUAGUGGUUCAAGUGAUGAUGCAGAGAAAAUUCCCAUCAGCUCCAACGUGAAUGUCUCUAGCACCACAAGCGGCGCAAAAAGGAAGUCCUCCAGUGGCAAGCGACUGGGGAAGAAGAAAAAAAUAUCUACGAGAGAGCUGUCUUUCUCUGUUGAUCGGGCCACUAGUGCCGUGGAGGAAGUGGCGGCAAACAUUAAAACCAUGAUGACCUCAAAUGAGAACAUUGGCACUGCCUAUGUCAAAGAGUUGUUGGCAACAUGACAUCUUCAGCGGCGGACACCGCUCUACUUUUUUACAUGUGUAGUUCUAGCGAGAAGCGGACAUGUUCGCCGUCAUGAAAGACGCAGAUGAGAAAUUUGAGUGGAUUCAAUGGCUGUUCAACGAGCGUAAUAAACAAUUUCACCUUUGAUUAUGUGCGUUAGGAGUACCUGUGUUUUGUGUCCCAAAAACUGUUUAACUUUUGCAUACAUCGGUCUGUUCCCAUUGUAUGUUGUGUAUUUAAAUAUUAUGCAUGCUAUGAUGCCGAAAUUUUUUUUCACUUGUGAUAUGUAAAAAAUUGUCACGAUAGAUCUGAUCACAAAGAUUUGCAUAGUUCAGGUGUACAUACUCAUGUGCCAAAAAGCAUGUUUUAUGAGAAAUAAUUUAAUGUAGGGCAACUGUUGUGGCACCAUUGUUCCAACUUGAGAGCUUGAGUACAGUAGUGCACCUUAUGUACUCCUACGUAAUCCCUCAUUCUGUAAAUGGCCAUGCACCGAGUGAUGUAGAAAAAUAUAUGAGGAUCUUCAAAGGUGUCUAAUGAAACUGUGGUCUAUAUAGUUACACAAAAGCUUUGGCUCUCUAACUGUAGUAAUACAA
rnacentral:lncRNA from 1 species